rnacentral:lncRNA from 1 species
AACCUUCUGCCGACUUUGUCGCUGGCAUAUAUGCCUCUUCUCGUCCAUCAGUUCUUCAUUUUUUUACCUGCUUCAAUAAUUUUCUUCUUUUCCUUUUCUAUUUUAUUUUGUUUCCUUAAUUACUUUUCCUAUUAAGGCCCUACGAAAAUAUUGAUUCACCAUAGCUCUGUACUCUUCUGCCCAUUUCGACAUUUUCAUGUUCGAACUUAUCACUCGAAUGUGGAUAGUUUUUGGAGGUAGGCACUUCAUUUGUUAUUGAUUGGAUUAAAUCUUGGAAGUUCAAUUGCGGAUUUUUCUCUAAUGAUUUUCAGAUUUUGUCAAGAAAUUACUCUUCAAAAUUCAUUGAUUAGUAAGUAAUUCAGUUCAUUCUGUUAAAAUAAUCACAUACAGCUCUUCUUUUCCUAUUUCAAUACUCAAAUCUCUCCCCAAUCCCUGAAUUCCUGGUUGACAGAAUUUUCGUGUUUAAAGUUCUGAAUCUUCCUUUAUUCGACAUGCGGUUUUGUGAUUCCUUACAUUCUAAUACCAGGCCCUAAGGUUAAUUGCCUACUAUAAAUAUUGACUAGUUCUCUGCACUAGGGAGAGGUUUUUCAGUCACUGCUACUAUAGCAUUCUAUAUUCUCUUUUCUUUAUUGCUGCGAGCAAAACAAAGCUUGGCACUUCAUACUUGUUCGACAUAAAUACUACUGAACAUUCUUGAGGUUCUGGUGAUUUUGGGGUGUCUGUCUUUUCUUGUUGCUAUUGUUCGAGUCUCUUGCGCAUAUUACUGCACAAUGUGGAGAAUAUUUGGUUCAAUUACUGUUGUCCAAGCUUGGAAUUCCAGGUUUUUCAUAUUCUAUUACUGAUAUUGGUUAGUUUCCUGAACGACGCAUUAUGAUUCCUUUACGUGUUGUUUGUUGUUAGAAUAGACUAGUCCUUCUCUUUAGUUUUGUAUUCUGUAAAACUCUUGGCCAUGCAGAGAUGCUGAGUGCCAUGCGGCACUCUAUUGAAAUUAUGCCAGUAUAAAGCCAGGUAUGUCUCUUAAACCUCAGUAUGUGCUUAAUUCUAUUUGUAUGUUCUGGUUUUUUUAUGCGAUAGAUAACUUGUAUGUAGGAUUAUUAUCUGUUUGAUCCGUUUGGACUUGUUUAGAAUAUUUUGUCGAAUAGAUACUACGAUUUAGGCUUAACCAAAAAAGUAAUACAGAUUUUGUUUAGACUUUUAACUUGCACUGAUGUUUUCCAUCAUUUAGACACCGUAUCCUUAUUACUAAAAAAGGUAACGUGAUGCUUCUUAAAUAAAGUCUGCCUAAGGGAUGCAUGGUAGUUCUCUGUUGUUUAAUCUUAUUCUUAGAAUUUGUUCACAUACUCAUCAUGUCAUAGGAUUUUAACCGCCAUGUACCACAUUUACGAAUGAGGUGAUUAACUUCAUGUUUAAUAGGAUGACUCAUAGCCUUGUCUAGCAUCUUCCUGUCUACUAUAGAUCUCUACUAUCUCAACAUGCUCCGUUGUAUAACUAAGCUUAGGUAUCACGUCUUUAAGAUUAACAAGCGUGUCUCAGUGUAAGUAGUAACUGACUAUGCUUUGUUUGGUUUGUUUGAGUAAGAUGAAUCUCCAUUGAAAUCUUGUUAUUUAGUUCACUCAAUCUGCCUUGUAAUAGGCUUGUAGUGACACUGAUACAAUUAUAAAAGGAGUAUUUACUAGGUAUGGGAGGACUAUGUGAUUAUUUGCUACGUGUUUAGGAAUACAGUGUUUGCCUACUCGAUUUGACUACUUGCUUAUUUAGUUUUAAUUCUUUUAUUUCGAUCAUAGUAUGCUAAUAGGUAAAAUCAGUUUUUCUUUCCCUCUUCUGUGUGUUUGAAUAGUUAAUUAUGAGUAGUGAUAAAGGCUCUUAAAAUAAGCUAGGUCUUUUAUAGUAUAGUACCUAAGUCCAUAAAUGGUUAACAUUCAUCUUUUAUCAGUUCAAACAGCUUCGGUCUAAUUUAUUUGUUUAUUUUUGUCUCUUCCAGAAAAUAAGUAUUUUCUAACAUAUUUCUGAGGUCUUACUUUACAAAAGAAUUUGAGUAUUUUGACAACAAAACUGAGAUUAUAACUUUGGUUCUAAUUCAAAAAUCAUUUUGAAAUUUGCCCUUUCUUUUGGCGUAUUCUUCCAAAUGGACACGUCACUUCAAGGAUUGAGCUCAAUAAUCAUUCCAUUUAAUUAUUUUGGGCCGCUUAGUGUUCACUGAGUUUUGGAAUAAAUUUGCUUUCUAACUCUUCAUAUCUAAUUAUUUAGAACAUUAUUUUUGGAGUUAUUUAUCAAUUUUACUAAAUUAGUAGAGUUAUCAUAUUAUGUGAGUCAUGUAAUAAAUCUGACUUUGUUGUUAUCACUUAGAUACCAUGCUUUAGAAUUAUGAGUUCAAUUCCGACCCUAACCUUUUUUAAGUCAUGCUAUUUGUGUGCAUUGUCUGCGGAGGUAUAUGUGAGCCUCUUAAUUGUUUAUAUGUUUCCCCCUAAUAUGCAGUCCUACAUGUUUUGUAUGUUGCCUUAGCCAUUUUACCUUUAAAACCCGAGAGUCAGCCUAAAUUCCUCCCUCUUAUAGGAAUAGUAGUUCUAAAUUACUCUGGGACUGAUAGGAAUGGGACAGGUAAUAGCAUGUAAUAGAGUUCGAGACUGAUCCACGCUUUAAUACCUUAAGGGGGUGAAAAGGGUAGAUAUGGAUAUGAUGACCGAUGCGCUAAUACCUCGUGUAUCCCCUCUUCUUUGUUUCUUUCCUUUACUACUGCUUUAAAUUAUGAAACUACUGUAUUUACUACUUUCUUAACAUACAAAUACAUGCCAACAUGCUUUUAAUUAUUGCAUAAUCAUGCUAAAUAUCAUAUUCCACUCAUGCCCAAACAAAUACCAUAACAAUACUUAUAAUGAGUGGUUGCACUCUUCCUAUAUUAUUACCCCCUAAAUCCGGAAAAGGCAUAUUUGCGGUAAAACCAGGCAAUCAAUAGUGUAGUCGACGAUUCCGUGCCUUUCCCCGUUGAGUUGUCCGCUCAAGGGCACCAGCCUAAAACCCCAUUUAAACCUCACUCUGUUUAAAAUGUGCAUGCAUCAUAGUCAAACCUAGCCGAGUCAGUUAUGUUGAACGCAUAAAUGACUCUUUAAGAUAGCCUUGUCCAAAGUCCACUAGGCUUCUCUAAACCCAAAUGGACAUCCUCACGUUCUGUGCAUUUAUUUGGAGAACUAAAUGUUUCAUGCUAAUUGUUGAUGUUAAAUAGUCGAGUCUGGUGGGGGUAGGGUCUUAACCCGUUUGUUUUGCAGAAAAUGAAGAACGAGGUCCCUAACUUUUGUAUGGUUAGCAUACCCUCACUCUUGCUAGACUGGUGGAGGAGUUGUCCAUCAAAUGACCAAAUCAAUGAGUGUAAAGAGAGGGUCACCAAAGCUAGCGAAAAUUUAGAAUAUCUGGAAUACAGUCUGCGGGAAUUGGAAGGAAAAGCGAGGAAAAGAGUCACCGACUGCCAGAACGCUGAGGGAAACGAAGGAGAACACCUGGCAAAGGCAUGAUUACUGGUGAACCUACGCGAACUGGAGGAUCUGAUCAACGAGAGCAUUCAACCUGUGGAAGGUCCUUCUGGGACCAAGUAGAUAGGAGUUCAUCUUUUUCACUUUAUAAAUGUAAUAAGGCCAAUAGCCAUUAGUGACUUUUAUUUCUUGCUUAUUUAGUGUCG